UCCACAGUCCACAGAAGUCAUUUAUUCUUUUUUUUUUUUUUUCGACUUAAUGCUACUUCAAUUGGUCAUUCUCAUUUAUUUCAUGUAACAGGAAAUUAUCACUAAUUUGCAGGAAGCACACUUUGUCAAGGAACUACAACAUAUUUUCUUGUUUAUAGGCAGAAUACACAAUUGAAAAGCAUAAUCUUCUGUGUGCUUUUGUACUCUCCAGAUUAGUAGUUUCUUCUAUGGAACAUACUGGCAUUCAGGACCUUCAUACAAACUCUGUGAUCUGUGAGAAAUUUAUGAUUUUUCUAUAACGCUAUCCAUAGAUCAAAUUAUUUCACGAAGAAAAAGAAUAAUAUUGGUAAAUUUUACAGAUUUGUUGGAUGAAGAUCUAGGAUUAACAUGAUUAUUUAUUGUAUUCCUAAAAAAAUCUGGAUAUGUAUUACUAUAUCUAAGUAAUUGCUGAUGGAUGUGCUAUUCGUAUCAUCUCAAUAUAACUCAAACUAUUAAAUUUGACCAUAUUAAAUUGAGACAAUUUGUUAUCUGAUUUGUUUUCCUUCAUUAAGGCAAUAUUGUUGGAGAACACAGUAUUCACGUAUUUUAAUUCACCCAUUAUUGGAUGUGGGUUUUCCCUUUCUUUUGAUGUCGGAUCUGCCUCCGUUUCCAUUUGACUCGGGUAAGAGUACUGUUCUUAUUCAUUUAUGGAUUCACACUCGUUUCAUAGGACGCUGCUCCCCAUGCUUGCUCAGCAAUUCACUUUGUUUGAUAAUCCUGUUUAUAUUAAUUUUGAUCAUUUCGAUUUUCGCCUUUCUGCCAAGAAGAUCACCUCAUUUCAACAAUCCUUUAGACUAUCUAGUAGAAUUUGGAAAACCGUCAUGUUAAUAUCAUAACAAGGAAUUUACCAGAUAAAUUAAGGCCUGUUGAUCUGCUCUCACUUCUGUCCCCAAUCAAUUUUACUACUUCUGGAUUGAAUUCCCCUACAAGCUGAUUUUGGAUUUUUGCAACUUUUUAGCAUCACUGUCCAUAUAAAAACUUCUUCCUGAUUCAAUCUUAUGCAGGUAGAAGGUUUACAAGAGGCAAUGGUCGCAGGAUAGAAGAUGGUUCUCUAAUCACUGUUGUGGAUAAGCAUGGUAGCAAUGAGAAGUUCACCCGGAGUGUUACUUUUGCUACACCAAGAGCAUUUGUAAGACUUCUUGGAUAGACUAAAAAAGCAAAACCUGAUCAAGAUAAUAAAAAGCCAAAAUCAAAUGAUGAAUUCAGAGAUAUGUUUUUAAAGAAGUGAAGACCAUUUCAAGUGAUUGGUGACUUGUUCAUUGGCUCCUGAAAAUUCAAUAGCAGUGGCAAUCGAUAAUCUCGGUUGUGUAUGUCUGGAUUAAAAACACUCUUAUUAAAAAAAAUGAUUAUAUGCCUCUAACAUCUUAUGUUGAAUGUCUAUUUUCUAAGUAAAGUUUUUUGUCUUGCAAUUCAAGCGAUAACCACUUUACACUUCUGCAAUUAGGUAUUUUCAGUACCAAAGGAAGUAUUUAAGUUGUUCCUAGAGAUUACUUCAUCAUCAAGCAGAAAAAAAGAAUAUAUAUGCAUAAAUAAUUAUAUUACCUUCAUUGGAAGCAGCUUAAAUUCAAAGAUUUCUGUCUGAUAUUGAACUUGAGUUUCUUAUUUGUCAUAAAUCUUAAAAUGGUUCACUGUAUGAGUCUGACAUGAUAAGUCCCAGCUAAUCUGGAUUGGGCCAAGGCUGUAAACAUUGGUUUCAACUGAGGCAUAUCCUUCAUAAGAAGAACACAAGAUGAUGAGGAAUAGGAGAUGAUGGCAACGAUAGCAGCCAACUAAUUAUAGCUUCUGCCUGCAGCAGCCACUGGAAAGUCGGGGAGGUAAACUAAAAAAAAAAAGAGAACCUUAAGACUUCUUGUUGCUUGCUUUUGGGGUGUUUGGUAUAUUUUUUUUGUCGAUUUUGUGGGUAUGUAUGCAUGUCGACAUAAAUUUAUUUAGGAUAGUUUCUUAUUUAGAAUGGUCUAUGGGAAUGUUUUAUAGUUGCUUUACUAGCAAUUGAGAUUAGUCCAGACUUGAAUAAGAAAUGGAAUUGCUUUCGAGUGUUAUUAAUUUGCGUUGUUGUUGUAUGAACAGUAACUCUUAUGGUUUUUUUCAUUAUUUGAUGUUUUAGUUAGUUCUUCUGUAUUUAAGUGGUAGUCUUGGGAUAAGUAGUGAUUGGAAAUACAGCCAUGUCCUUGUUUACUUAAGUAGUUGUUUGAAAUGAAGUGAAUGUAUGAUCUCUUUAUGAAUCAAAAUAAAGUUGUCAUCAGACAUGUUUGCUUUCACUAGAUUGUUCACAUUGUUUCUCACCAGUUCUGUAUUUCAGUGGUAGUCAGUCUUUGGAUAAGUAGUGAUUAGAAAUACAACCAAGUCCUUGUCUACUUAUUGUUUGAAAUGAAGUGAAUGUAUGAUCUCUUAAUGAAUGAAAAUUAAGUUGUCAUCAGCCAUUAAUGUAAUCUUUCACUACAUUCUGUCAAUUAUUUCCAAUGAGUGUUGCAGAUAUAAAGUACUGGAAAAACUCACUUUAAUGGCAUCACAAGCAAAAAUAUUCUCUUACAUGAUUCGGAGAAAGAGAAGAUUCUUCUCCAUGGAUCUACAAUAGAGAAGCAUUAUGAAAAUUCAUUGUGGUGAGCAUCAGACUCCAUCUUUAUGCCAAAGGUUAUCUAGGUGGUUGCACAAGACAAAGAGGUGCUUCCUUGUGGCUACUUGGGACCAGCCAUUGAGGGUGAACACAUGCAGAUAUGAUGAUGCCAACCUUGUCGACAGAGUUCUUACCUCGAGGCAGACCUCCUGGAUGUCUGUUUUGGACUGGUAGUUUUGACAGUGGUGGAUACGUAAUCAUCUAAUGAUUCAUACACCCCUUCUUUUCUGCUUCUUUCUUUUGGGGGUGAACACAUGCAGAUAUGAUGAUGCCAACCUUGUCGACAGAGUUCUUACCUGGAGACAGACCUCCUGGAAAUGCUCACUUUUGACUACAUUCGGUAAUGAUACUGUAAACUUUGCUACCACCAUCCCAGUUUUGUCACAAAUACUUGCUGCUAUAAGAGUGCCCAUUUGCCAAUCUUUCUAUUUCUCUA